rnacentral:rRNA from 1 species
GAUUGCGAUCAUACCAGCACUAAUGCACCGGAUCCCAUCAGAACUCCGCAGUUAAGCGUGCUUGGGCGAGAGUAGUACUAGGAUGGGUGACCCCCUGGGAAGUCCUCGUGUUGCAACCCC